UACGUAGGUGGCAAGCGUUAUCCGGAAUUAUUGGGCGUAAAGCGCGCGCAGGUGGUUUCUUAAGUCUGAUGUGAAAGCCCGGGGCUCAACCCCGGGAGGCGGGUGGAUACUGCUCAGCUCGAGUCCGGAAGAGGAGUGUGGAAUUCCUGGUGUAGCGGUGAAAUGCGCAGAUAUCAGGAGGAACACCAAUGGCGAAGGCAGCACUCUGGGACGGUACUGACGCUGAGAAGCGAAAGCGUGGGGAGCGAACAGG
rnacentral:rRNA from 1 species